GGGCUGGUGGGCACUGAGAUAUAGAUCCAUACAAAAACCUGAGAGCAAUAAUCUUACACUCUCCCACUGUUAGGAUGGAUAGAAAGAACAGGACAAAGCAUUUCUCAGUGGAAAAUGAGGUUUUUGUUCAAGCAGUGAAUGGAGAUGCAGCACUGUGAUGCUUUUGACGUCUGGGGUCGUGGGACUAAAGUCACAGUUUCUUCAGAGCCAGCUGUAUCACCAACUCUGUUCCCUUUGGUUCAGUGCACACCUGGACCUGAUGAUAAAAUCACUGUUGGUUGUCUUGCACGCGACUUCUUCCCUGAAAGUCUUACUUUCCAGUGGACCGAUGCCAGUGGGACCAGCCUGGCUUCUGUACAAUAUCCUCCAGCUGAGAAGAACAACAAAUAUACAGAAGUCAGUUUGGUCCAAGUAUCAAAAUCUGACUGGGAUUCAAAGAAGUCUUUUAAUUGUUCUGUGACUCACCCUGGAGGCCCAAACAGUGUGAAACUGCGAAGUCACUUUGCUAUCAGUGCCAAGCGGAGACACUCAGGCUCUGGUGUGCACAAUUGAGGAUUUUCUUCCAAAAGAAUUGUCAGUCAAAUGGAAAAAAGGUGCAAACUAUGUAACUGACUUCAGUACAUGGGACUCCAAAGCAACUGGAGACUCAUAUUCAGCUGUCAGUGUCCUGAAGGUCAAGAAAACAGA